CCAUAAUUAACAUUCCAGUGGAACACUCAAAAGACCUGGGCCUUCAAAGAAAAAAACCGAGACUUGGGGAGGGCAGGCAGCUGGACCAUCAUCACAACAGCUGGACCAUCAUCACAACAGCUGGUCGUUUUGGAAAUUGUGUUGCAGAUCAGACAAACAUCGUGGUUCACGAAAUCCAUUGGUGUUGAAAGACACAGAAUGAAAUGACUUCAAGUGGAAGUUGGAAGACAACUCACUUGAGAGCCAGUUCUUUCCUGCCUCAGGAUCCCAGGAUUGAACUCAGAUUAUCAUGACUGAGCAUGAACACCUCUACCCACUGAGAUACCUCACCAGACUCAUUCUCUACUGACUUCAUGUCUGUGGCUGCUCAAAUCCCUCCCAGAGCAGACGGCCACCCUCACCAGAGGGUGUGGCUUUGUCUAGUAGGACAUAGUGACUAAGACCAUCACUAGCUGCUGGGUCCCUUGUACACUCUCUGGGCACCUGUCUGAAGACGGUACCUACCCUACUUUGAGAAGAGGAUUCACUGAGUCACUCCAGGCUGCUGUGUCUUUCCUCCUGGAUGCUGCUGCCCUACAUCUGAGAAGAGAAUUGGCCUCAAGCCUGUGAACCAUGCGUGCACUUGGUCUCUUUCCCAAUGUAACUUUUCUACUUAAUAUCACUUUACCAAAUGCAGCCUCUUCCUCUUUU